CACGACAUUUAAUCUGAACUCAGCUCCUGUAGUCUUACAUCAGGAGAUUCUCGGAAGAGAUUUGUGGAUUAAACAGAUUGGCGAGGCUCAAGAGAAAGGAAGAUUAGACUAUGCUAAGUUACGAGAAGCAAUCAAAGCUGGCAAAGGUGUGACUUCAGCUAUUGACCUGUGUCGUUACCAUGGAAACAAGGCCCUGGCGGCCCUGGAGAGCUUUCCUCCCUCCGAGGCCCGAUCUGCUUUAGAAAACAUUGUGUUUGCUGUGACCAGAUUUUCGUGACACCAGAUUAAAAAGACACUAUUGUUCGUUAGCUGGAAAAACAGGGAUGAGGUGAUCCAGCGAGCUUUCAUAAUGAAAUAUCUCAAUUUGCUAAUGACUUUAAAAACAUACACAUGGUUUUUUCUUCUUUUUAUCACAUUGCUAAAUGCAUACUGCCAUCUUUUUUGGAUCUCCUACAAACAAAAUUAGAAGAAAAAAAAGGUCAAGCCGUUUUCCUUUGUCACGCCAGAAGCACACUUGAGGCUGCAGUAGCAGAAAUAAUUAAUGAGAUUCGCUCCUGUGACCUCAGCAAAUGGACAGGAAAUAAGUCCUUAUUGAUUGGACCGAGCCAGGGAUGGCGCCAGGGCGGUGGCCUGUGGUUUUCCUUCUAGAGAGGACAGAGCAAGCUGGGCGCUGCAGGUGUCAAGGGACACGCUGACAGUGCCAGCCCGGGGGACUGUCGCUUCACAGACCAGAGGCCAGAGGGCAGUUCAGUGAUUAAGAAAAACUGUGCUUUGUCCUCUGGCAGUUAUGUCUCUGUGUUUACAGACCCCGUGUGAAUAUACUUUCACUUCAUGGUUUUUGUAAGAUUUGGGGAAAAUUGUUGGGGGAAAAAUGUCAAAUAGUUGAAUUAAGAGAUUAAAACGUUAUCAAAAGUUAACUUGGCUGUAGUAGGAAUUGCCUGUUUUUCUUUCUUAAAGAUCAAUUUUCUUUUUA